GACGAACGCUGGCGGCGUGCCUAAUACAUGCAAGUCGAGCGAGCUUGCCUAGAUGAAUUUGGUGCUUGCACCAAAUGAAACUAGAUACAAGCGAGCGGCGGACGGGUGAGUAACACGUGGGUAACCCGCCCAAGAGACUGGGAUAACACCUGGAAACAGAUGCUAAUACCGGAUAACAACACUAGACGCAUGUCUAGAGUUUAAAAGAUGGUUCUGCUAUCACUCUUGGAUGGACCUGCGGUGCAUUAGCUAGUUGGUAAGGUAACGGCUUACCAAGGCAAUGAUGCAUAGCCGAGUUGAGAGACUGAUCGGCCACAUUGGGACUGAGACACGGCCCAAACUCCUACGGGAGGCAGCAGUAGGGAAUCUUCCACAAUGGACGCAAGUCUGAUGGAGCAACGCCGCGUGAGUGAAGAAGGGUUUCGGCUCGUAAAGCUCUGUUGGUAGUGAAGAAAGAUAGAGGUAGUAACUGGCCUUUAUUUGACGGUAAUUACUUAGAAAGUCACGGCUAACUACGUGCCAGCAGCCGCGGUAAUACGUAGGUGGCAAGCGUUGUCCGGAUUUAUUGGGCGUAAAGCGAGUGCAGGCGGUUCAAUAAGUCUGAUGUGAAAGCCUUCGGCUCAACCGGAGAAUUGCAUCAGAAACUGUUGAACUUGAGUGCAGAAGAGGAGAGUGGAACUCCAUGUGUAGCGGUGGAAUGCGUAGAUAUAUGGAAGAACACCAGUGGCGAAGGCGGCUCUCUGGUCUGCAACUGACGCUGAGGCUCGAAAGCAUGGGUAGCGAACAGG
rnacentral:rRNA from 1 species